ACUCCUACGGGAGGCAGCAGUGGGGAAUAUUGCACAAUGGGCGCAAGCCUGAUGCAGCCAUGCCGCGUGUAUGAAGAAGGCCUUCGGGUUGAUAAAGUACUUUCAGCAGGUUAGGAAGGUGGUAUGUUAAUAGCAUAUUCAUUUGACGUUAGCUGCAGAAGAAGCACCGGCUAACUCCGUGCCAGCAGCCGCGGUAAUACGGAGGGUGCGAGCGUUAAUCGGAAUUACUGGGCGUAAAGCGCAUGCAGGUGGUUUGUUAAGUCAGAUGUGAAAGCCCGGGGCUCAACCUCGGAAUUGCAUUUGAAACUGGCAAACUAGAGUACUGUAGAGGGGGGUAGAAUUUCAGGUGUAGCGGUGAAAUGCGUAGAGAUCUGAAGGAAUACCGGUGGCGAAGGCGGCCCCCCUGGACAGAUACUGACACUCAGAUGCGAAAAGCGUGGGGAGCAAACAGGAUUAGAUACCCUGG
rnacentral:rRNA from 1 species